UACGAAGGGAGCUAGCGUUGUUCGGAAUCACUGGGCGUAAAGCGCACGUAGGCGGAUGUGUCAGUCAGGGGUGAAAUCCCGGAGCUCAACUUCGGAACUGCCCUUGAUACAGCAUGUCUUGAGUCCGGAAGAGGUGGGUGGAAUUCCUAGUGUAGAGGUGAAAUUCGUAGAUAUUAGGAAGAACACCGGUGGCGAAGGCGGCCCACUGGUCCGGUACUGACGCUGAGGUGCGAAAGCGUGGGGAGCAAACAGG
rnacentral:rRNA from 1 species